UGGGGAAUUUUGGACAAUGGGGGCAACCCUGAUCCAGCCAUACCGCGUGAGUGAAGAAGGCCUUCGGGUUGUAAAGCUCUUUCAGCCGGAAAGAAAUCGUGCAGGCUAAUACCCUGUAUGGAUGACGGUACCGGAAGAAGAAGCACCGGCUAACUACGUGCCAGCAGCCGCGGUAAUACGUAGGGUGCGAGCGUUAAUCGGAAUUACUGGGCGUAAAGCGUGCGCAGGCGGUUUUGUAAGACAGGUGUGAAAUCCCCGGGCUUAACCUGGGAACUGCAUUUGUGACUGCAAGGCUAGAGUGCGGCAGAGGGGGGUAGAAUUCCACGUGUAGCAGUGAAAUGCGUAGAGAUGUGGAGGAAUACCGAUGGCGAAGGCAGCCCCCUGGGUCGACACUGACGCUCAUGCACGAAAGCGUGGGGAGCAAACAGGAUUAGAUACCCUGGUAGUCCACGCCCUAAACGAUGUCAACUAGGUGUUGGGGGAA
rnacentral:rRNA from 1 species